CUUACCUUUGCCAUGGGACUUACAGCCUGACCUGUGUUUAAGUAUCAUUCGUUGAACUGAUCAGACGAAUUGGCUAUCAUGAUGUGGAGAACAGCAUUGAUGACCACAAUUUUUAUGUUAACAGCACAUACUGUUAUCAGAGCUGAGCAAACAACUGAUGUUACAGAUGCCACAGACUCAACAGAUGACUUCACAACAGAAUCAAUUGGUCACAUUACAAAUGUUUCUACGACCAACACAAUUGAUGGAUUGUCCACAGAAAUAACCAUGGAAUCAAUUACAAGUAAAACUGCUAAAUCUAUAACCGGUUUAACGGAUGAAUCAACCAAUGAUGUCAUGACGAAAAAGAUAACAGUGGAAGAAUUUUCAACAUCCUUGUUGGAUAACCCUACCAUAGAUCUUACAGAUCAUUCAACAGAGAUACCACAAUUUAAAACAGAAUUUACUGACAAAUCACCAACAGAUUUCACAGAUGCAUCAGCCACAGAUAUUAUAGAUGAACCAGCAACAGCAUUUACACUUGAUUCAUCAGAGGAGACUGACAUAUCAACUAUUGGAGUUUCAUUUACUGAUGAAAUAACGACUGAUGAGACACAGGAACCGAUAACAGCAUUCCCAUCAGACAUAUCUGCAAGUGUAAUAGACAUAUCAACACCAUUUACAACAGAUUCAUCAGAGGAAGAUUCAACAGAGGAAACUGAACCGUCAACUAUUGGAUUUACUGAUGAAUCAACUGCAACCACAAAACCCCAAUCAACCACAGGAGUUAC